UUGUCUUUUAAAUAAAGACUAGUAUGAACGGCUAAAUGAGGAUAAACCUGUCUCUUAUAAUUAACCAGUGAAACUGAUCUUCAAGUUCAAAAGCUUGAAUAAACACAUAAGACGAGAAGACCCUGUGGAGCUUUAAACCAACCCUAUAGCCUCUAAGCCCAUAUGGGGCCAGUUUUAAGUUGGGGCGACUUCGGAACAAAACAAAACUUCCGAGCACAGAGCCAACCACUCCCCCUCAGACUUACAAGUCAAAGGAAGACACCGACCCAGUACCACUGACCAACGAACCAAGUUACCCCAGGGAUAACAGCGCCAUCUUCUUCAAGAGUCCCUAUCGACAAGAAGGUUUACGACCUCGAUGUUGGAUCAGGACACCCAAAUGGUGCAGCAGCUAUUAAAGGUUCGUUGUUCAACGAUU
rnacentral:rRNA from 1 species